AUUGAACGCUGGCGGCAGGCCUAACACAUGCAAGUCGAACGAGUGGCGGACGGGUGAGUAAUGUAUGGGAAACUGCCCGAGGGAGGGGGAUAACUACGGGGAACGGUAGCUAAUACCGCAUACCAUCGGAUGUGCCCAGUUGGGAUUCGCUAGUAGGUGGGGUAACGGCUCACCUAGGCGAGGAUCCCUAGCUGGUAGGAGAGGAUGACCAGCCACACGGGAACUGAGACACGGUCCAGACUCCUACGGGAGGCAGCAGUGGGGAAUAUUGCACAAUGGGCGCAAGCCUGAUGCAGCCAUGCCGCGUGUAUGAAGAAGGCCUUCGGGUUGUAAAGUACUUUCAGCGAGGAGGCGUUACUCGCAGAAGAAGCACCGGCUAACUCCGUGCCAGCAGCCGCGGUAAUAC
rnacentral:rRNA from 1 species